CUGAUAUUUGGACCAUAUAUAAGAUAUCUAUCAUCGCAUUUGCAUUGUUUUGUGGUGUUUCCGGUUCUGGAGUGCUGGUUUGUUCAGGAGAAACCGGGUCAUGGAGGGGGUUUCUCAGUACCCAUGAGUCAAGAGAAAUCUCUAAUGUUCAUCAGAACUGAAGCCUUCAGUGAAGAGAGCAUUUAUGAACUUCAUCCUCCUGCAGACAUCAGUCCAUCCAGGAUUUACUAUGUGACCGAUCCAGCUGGCUCGUUCUGCAGUGCAGCUCUGAAUCCACCCAAAGGCUGUGAACAAACCCAAG